rnacentral:rRNA from 1 species
CUCGUGUCGUGAGAUGUUGGGUUAAGUCCCGUAACGAGCGCAACCCUUGUCCUUAGUUACCCGCACGCAAUGGUCGGCACUCUAAGGAGACUGCCGGCGACAAACCGGAGGAAGGUGGGGAUGACGUCAAGUCAUCAUGGCCCUUACGGCGUGGGCUCCCCCCCUGCUACAAUGGUCGGUACAAAGGGUUCCAACCCGCGAGGUGGAGCUAAUCCCAUAAAACCGAUCGUAGUCCGGAUCGCAGUCUGCAACUCGACUGCGUGAAGUCGGAAUCGCUAGUAAUCGCGAAUCAGAAUGUCGCGGUGAAUACGUUCCCGGGCCUUGUACACACCGCCCGUCACACCCAUGGGAGUGGGUUSCCCCCCAGAAGUAGCUAGUCUUAACCCUUCGGGAGGACGGUU